AAAAUAGCACCGUAACUUCGGGAGAAGGUGCACCCGUUUUGGUGAGAGGACUUGCUCCUCAAGCUGAAGUGGGUCUCAGAAACUAGGGGGCUGCGACUGUUUACUAAAAACAUAGCACUCUGCAAACUCGUAAGAGGAAGUAUAGGGUGUGACGCCUGCCCGGUGCCGGAAGGUUAAUUGAUGGGGUGCAAGCUCUUGAUCGAAGCCCCGGUAAACGGCGGCCGUAACGAUAACGGUCCUAAGGUAGCGAAAUUCCUUGUCGGGUAAGUUCCGACCUGCACGAAUGGCGUAACGAUGGCCCCGCUGUCUCCACCCGAGACUUAGUGAAAUUGAAAUCGCUGUGAAGAUGCAGUGUACCCGCGGCUAGACGGAAAGACCCCGUGCACCUUUACUAUAGCUUUACACUGAGCUUUGAAUAUUCUUGUGUAGGAUAGGUGGGAGGCUUUGAAACCGAGACGCUAGUUUCGGUGGAGCCAUCCUUGAAAUACCACCCUGGAAUGUUUGAGGUUCUAACCCAGGUCCGUAAUCCGGAUCGGAGACAGUGUAUGGUGGGUAGUUUGACUGGGGCGGUCUCCUCCUAAAGAGUAACGGAGGAGCGCAAUGGUACCCUCAGCGCGGUCGGAAAUCGCGCAUUGAGUGCAAAGGCAUAAGGGUGCUUAACUGCGAGACUGACGGGUCGAGCAGGUACGAAAGUAGGUCUUAGUGAUCCGGUGAUUCUGUAUGGAAGGGUCAUCGCUUAACGAAUAAAAGGUACGCCGGGGAUAACAGGCUGAUACCGCCCAAGAGUUCAUAUCGACGGCGGUGUUUGGCACCUCGAUGUCGACUCAUCACAUCCUGGGGCUGUAGUCUGUCCCAAGGGUAUGGCUGUUCGCCAUUUAAAGUGGUACGUGAGUUGGGUUUAGAACGUCGUGAGACAGUUCGGUUCCUAUCUACCGUGGGCGUUAGAGAUUUGAGAGGAGCUGCUCCUGGUACGAGAGGACCGGAGUGGACGAACCUCUGGUGUUCCGGUUGUCACGCCAGUGGCAUUGCCGGGUAGCUACGUUCGGACGGGAUAACUGCUGAAAGCAUCUAAGUAGGAAGCCCCCCCCAAGAUGAGAUCUCUCUGGAUACGUUGAUAUCCCUAAAGGUCCGUUGAAGACUACGACAUUGAUAGGCAGGGUGUGGAAGCGCAGUAAUGUGCGAAGCUAACCUGUACUAAUUGACCGUGAGGCUUGACCAU
rnacentral:rRNA from 1 species